AGGGAACGAAGUUGGAAACGACUGCUAAUACCGCAUACGAUCCAAUCUUGGCAUCGAGACUGGAUGAAAGGUGGCCUCUAUUUAUAAGCUAUCACUGAAGGAGGGGAGUUGCGUCUGAUUAGCUAGUUGGAGGGGUAACGGCCCACCAAGGCGAUGAUCAGUAGCCGGUCUGAGAGGAUGAACGGCCACAUUGGGACUGAGACACGGCCCAG
rnacentral:rRNA from 1 species